CUUAAAGGACCACUCUAGGCACCCAGACCACUUCAGCUUAAUGAAGUGGUCUGGGUGCCAGGUCCAGCUAGGGUUAACCCAUUUUUUCAUAAACAUAGCAGUUUCAGAGAAACUCAUUGUCUCAUUGACAGCCACUAGAGGCGCUUGCGUGCUUCUCACUGUGAUUUUCACAGUGAGAGCACGCCAGCGUCCAUAGGAAAGCAUUAUGAAUGCUUUCCUAUGCGACCGGCUGAAUGCGCGCGCAGCUCUUGCCGCGCGUGCGCAUUCAGCCGACGGGGCGGAACGGAGGAGGAGAGAAGGAGGAGAGCUCUCCGCCCAGUGCUGGAAAAAGGUAAGUUUAAACCCCUUUCCCCCUUCCAGAGCCGGGCGGGAGGGG